rnacentral:rRNA from 1 species
UACGUAGGGACCAAGCGUUGUUCGGAUUUACUGGGCGUAAAGGGCGCGUAGGCGGCAAUUCAAGUCAUCUGUGAAAUCUCCGGGCUUAACUCGGAACGGUCAGAUGAUACUGCUUUGCUCGAGUGCGGAAGGGGCAAUCGGAAUUCUUGGUGUAGCGGUGAAAUGCGUAGAGAUCAUGAGGAAGACCAGUGGCGAAGGCGGGUCUCUGGACAGUUCCUGACACUGAGACACGAAGGCCAGGGGAGCAAACGGG